ACCGGAAGUGGGGGCGGAAGUUCAGUGGGCUCAGCGCCGACUGCGCGCCUCUGCCCGCGAACUCCGAACUGGCUGACAGCUGGGGACGCGGUGGCGGCCCUCGACUGGAGUCGGUUGAGUUCUUGAGGGCCCCCGGUUCUGGAAGGUUCGCCACGGAGACAAGUGAGCAGUCUGUGCCAUAGAGAUUCUCGAAGAGAACAGCGUUGUGUCCCAGUGCACAUGCUCGCGUCGCUUACCAGGAGUGCCUGAGACCCUAAGAUGUUCGGAGUGGUUUUUUCGCACAGACCCACAUAGCCUGCCCCUCAGCCACGCUGUGUGCCCUUCUGAGAACAGGCUGAUAUGCCCAAGAUAGUCCUGAAUGGUGUGACCAUAGACUUCCCUUUCCAGCCCUACAAAUGCCAACAGGAGUACAUGACCAAGGUCCUGGAAUGUCUGCAGCAGAAGGUGAAUGGCAUCCUGGAGAGCCCCACGGGCACAGGGAAGACGCUGUGCUUGCUGUGUACCACGCUGGCCUGGCGAGAGCACCUCCGAGAUGGCAUCUCUGCCCGCAAGAUUGCUGAGAGGGUGCAAGGGGAGCUUUUCCCGGAUCGGGCCUUGUCAUCCUGGGGCAACGCUGCUGCUGCUGCUGGAGACCCCAUAGCUUGCUACACGGACAUCCCAAAGAUCAUUUACGCCUCCAGGACCCACUCGCAACUCACGCAGGUCAUCAACGAGCUUCGGAACACCUCCUACCGCUCACACUGUGGGACCACGCUGUGGCUGUUGGAGACAGCUCCUCCUGGACCCACGGUGCUCUCUCCCACCAGGCCUAAGGUGUGUGUGCUGGGCUCCCGGGAGCAGCUGUGCAUCCAUCCUGAGGUGAAGAAACAAGAGAGUAACCACAUACAGAUCCACUUGUGCCGCAAGAAGGUGGCAAGUCGCUCCUGUCAUUUCUACAACAACGUAGAAGAAAAAGGCCUGGAGCAGGAGCUGGCCAGCCCCAUCCUGGACAUCGAGGACUUGGUCAAGAACGGAAGCAAGCACAGGGUGUGCCCUUACUACCUGUCCCGCAACCUGAAGCAGCAAGCUGACAUCAUCUUCAUGCCGUACAAUUACUUGUUGGAUGCCAAGAGCCGCAGAGCACACAACAUUGACCUGAAGGGGACAGUUGUGAUCUUUGACGAAGCUCACAAUGUGGAGAAGAUGUGUGAAGAAUCGGCAUCCUUUGACCUGACCCCCCAUGACCUGGCUUCGGGACUGGACGUCAUAGACCAGGUGCUGGAGGAGCAGACCAAGAUGGCACAGCAGGGCAAGCCCCACCCGGAGUUCAGCGCGGACUCCCCCAGCCCAGGGCUGAACAUGGAGCUGGAAGACAUUGCAAAACUGAAGAUGAUCCUGCUCCGCCUGGAGGGGGCCAUCGAUGCUGUUGAGCUGCCUGGAGACGACAGCGGUGUCACCAAGCCAGGGAGCUACAUCUUUGAGCUGUUUGCUGAAGCCCAGAUCACGUUUCAGACCAAGGGCUGCAUCCUGGACUCGCUGGACCAGAUCAUCCAGCACCUGGCAGGACGUGCUGGAGUGUUCACCAACACAGCCGGACUGCAGAAGCUGGCGGACAUCAUCCAGAUUGUGUUCAGUGUGGACCCCUCUGAGGGCGGCCCUGGUUCCCCGGCAGGGCUGGGGGCCUUACAGUCCUAUAAGGUACACAUCCAUCCUGAUGCUGGUCACCGGAGGACAGCUCAGCGGUCUGAUGCCUGGAGCACCACUGCAGCCAGAAAGCGAGGGAAGGUGCUGAGCUACUGGUGCUUCAGUCCCGGCCACAGCAUGCGUGAGCUGGUCCGCCAGGGUGUCCGCUCCCUCAUCCUUACCAGCGGCACGCUGGCCCCGGUGUCCUCCUUUGCCCUGGAGAUGCAGAUCCCCUUCCCAGUCUGCCUGGAGAACCCACACAUCAUCGACAAGCACCAGAUCUGGGUGGGGGUCGUCCCCAGAGGCCCCGACGGAGCCCAGUUGAGCUCCGCGUUCGACAGACGGUUUUCUGAGGAGUGCUUAUCCUCCCUGGGGAAGGCUCUGGGCAACAUCGCCCGUGUGGUGCCCUGUGGGCUCCUGAUCUUCUUCCCUUCCUAUCCUGUCAUGGAGAAGAGCCUGGAGUUCUGGCGGGCCCGCGACUUGGCCAGGAAGAUGGAGGCGCUGAAGCCGCUGUUUGUGGAGCCCAGGAGCAAAGGCAGCUUCUCCGAGACCAUCAGUGCUUACUACGCGAGGGUCGCUGCCCCUGGGUCCACUGGUGCCACCUUCCUGGCCGUGUGCCGGGGCAAGGCCAGCGAGGGGCUGGACUUCUCAGACACGAAUGGCCGGGGUGUGAUUGUCACGGGCCUCCCGUACCCACCACGCAUGGAUCCCCGGGUUGUCCUCAAGAUGCAGUUCCUGGACGAGAUGAAGGGCCAGGGUGGGGCUGGGGGCCAGUUCCUCUCUGGGCAGGAGUGGUACCGGCAGCAGGCGUCCAGGGCGGUGAACCAGGCCAUCGGGCGAGUGAUCCGGCACCGCCAGGACUACGGGGCUGUCUUCCUCUGUGACCACAGGUUCGCCUUUGCCGACGCAAGAGCCCAACUGCCCUCCUGGGUGCGCCCCCACAUCAGGGUGUACGACAACUUCGGCCAUGUCAUCCGAGACGUGGCCCAGUUCUUCCGUGUUGCCGAGCGAACUAUGCCAGCACCAGCCCCCCGGGCUUCAGCACCCAGUGUGCGUGAAGGAGAAGAUGCUGUCAGGGAGGCCAAGUCGCCUGGCCCCUUCUUCUCCACAAGGAAAGCUAAGAGUCUGGACCUGCAUGUUCCCAGCCUGAAGCAGAGGUCCUCAGGGUCACCAGCUGCCGGGGACCCUGAGAGUAGCCUGUGUGUGGAGUAUGAGCAGGAGCCAGUUCCUGCCCGGCAGAGGCCCCGGGGGCUGCUGGCCGCCCUGGAGCACAGCGAACAGCGGGCCGGGAGCCCUGGUGAGGAGCAGGCCCACAGCUGCUCCACCCUGUCCCUCCUGUCUGAGAAGAGGCCGGCAGAAGAGCUUCGAGGAGGGAGGAAGAAGAUCCGGCUGGUCAGCCACCCGGAGGAGCCCGUGGCUGGUGCACAGACGGACAGGGCCAAGCUCUUCAUGGUGGCCGUGAAGCAGGAGCUGAGCCAAGCCAGCUUUGCCACCUUCACCCAGGCCCUGCAGGACUACAAGGGUUCUGAUGACUUCGCCGCCCUGGUCGCCUGUCUCGGCCCCCUCUUUGCUGAGGACGCCAAGAAGCACAGCUUGCUCCAAGGCUUCUACCAGUUUGUGCGGCCCCACCACAAGCAGCAGUUUGAGGAGGUCUGUAUCCAGCUAACAGGACGAGGCUGCGGCUAUCGGCCCGAGCACAGCAUUCCCCGAAGGCAGCGGGCACAGCGGGUCCCGGACCCCACUGGAAGGACGGUGCCGGAUCCCAAGCUGACCCUGUUCAAGGCUGCAGCCCAGCAGCUGGACCCCCGAGAGCACCUGAACCAGGGCAGGCCUCACCUGUCGCCCAAGCCACCCCCUACAGGAGACCCUGGCAGCCACCCACAGUGGGGGUCUGGAGCGCCCAGAGCAGGGAAGCAGGGCCAGCGCGCCGUGAGCACCUACCUGGCUGAUGCCCGCAGGGCCCUGGGGUCUGCAGGCUGUAGCCAGCUCUUGGCAGCGCUGACAGCCUAUAAGCAAGAUGACGACCUCGACAAGGUGCUGGCUGUGCUGGCCGCCCUGACCACUGCAAAGCCAGAGGACUUCCCCCUGCUGCACAGGUUCAGCAUGUUUGUGCGUCCACACCACAAGCAGCGAUUCUCACAGACAUGCACAGACCUGACCGGCCGGCCCUACCCGGGCAUGGAGCCACCAGGACCCCAGGAGGAGAGUCUUGCCGUGCCUCCUGUGCUUACCCACGGGGCUCCCCAACCAGGCCCCUCACGGUCCGAGAAGCCCGGGAAGACCCAGAGCAAGAUCUCGUCCUUCCUUAGACAGAGGCCAGCAGGGACUGUGGGGGCGGGCGGUGAGGAUGCAGGUCCCAGCCAGUCCCCAGGACCUCCCUACGGGCCUGCAGCGUCUGAGUGGGGUGAGCCUCAUGGGAGAGACAUCGCUGGGCAGCAGGCCGCGGGAGCUCCGGGCGGGCCCCUCUCAGCAGGCUGUGUGUGCCAGGGCUGUGGGGCGGAGGACGUGGUGCCCUUCCAGUGCCCUGCCUGUGACUUCCAGCGCUGCCAAGCCUGCUGGCAACGGCACCUUCAGGCCUCUAGGACAUGCCCAGCCUGCCACACCGCCUCCAGGAAGCAGAGCGUCACGCAGGUCUUCUGGCCAGAGCCCCACAAGGACCAUGAGGGCGCUGGAGGGGCCAGGCCUGUCGCUGCUGUGCCUGAUGUCAGUGCUGCCUGCCCUGCUGCUGGUGCCAGCUAUACACGGAGUGGCAGAAGCACCCACCUACCCCUGGCGGGACGCAGAGACAGGGGAGUGGCUGGUGUGCGCCCAGUGCCCCCCAGGCACCUUUGUGCAGCGGCCGUGCCGCCGAGACAGCCCCACGACGUGUGGCCCGUGUCCGCCGCGCCACUACACGCAGUUCUGGAACUACCUGGAGCGCUGCCGCUACUGCAACGUCCUCUGCGGGGAGCGUGAGGAGGAGGCACGGGCUUGCCACGCCACCCACAACCGCGCUUGCCGCUGCCGUGCCGGCUUCUUCGCGCACGCUGGUUUCUGCUUGGAGCACGCAUCGUGUCCACCUGGCACCGGCGUGAUUGCCCCGGGCACCCCCAGCCAGAACACGCAGUGCCAGCCGUGCCCCCCAGGUACCUUCUCAGCCAGCAGCUCCAGCUCAGAGCAGUGCCAGCCCCACCGCAACUGCACGGCCCUGGGCCUGGCCCUCAAUGUGCCAGGCUCUUCCUCCCAUGACACCCUGUGCACCAGCUGCACUGGCUUCCCCCUCAGCACCAGGGUACCAGGAGCUGAGGAGUGCGAGCGUGCUGUCAUCGACUUCGUGGCUUUCCAGGACAUCUCCAUCAAGAGGCUGCAGCGGCUGCUGCAGGCCCUCGAGGCCCCGGAGGGCUGGGGUCCGACACCAAGGGCGGGCCGUGCGGCCUUGCGGCUGAAGCUGCGUCGGCGGCUCACGGAGCUCCUGGAGGCGCGGGAUGGGGCGCUGCUGGCACGGCUGCUGCAGGCGCUGCGCGUGGCCAGGAUGCC